rnacentral:lncRNA from 1 species
AGUUGGAAUAAAGAAUAGAAUUAAGAAUUUUCCCUUUACUUUCAUCGUUAGGGCAAAUUAGAGUUUCUACGGGGUUUUACGGUUUUUGGUAGUGUGAAUAAUCGAUACGGAGUGUGUACUAAAUUUGGUGAUUAAGAGUGAGUUUUAGAUAAGAAAAAAUGUGUGAUUAGAAGUAAUAAUAAUAAGUUAGUGAAUUAUAAUUGAAAAUCCUAGUACGUGUGAGUUAAGGAAAAACGGUGUGAACCGACAUGUGCCGUUUGUCACCGAGUGAGUACACCACUUGAACACUACUU